AACUUUGCGCAGUGGCAGUAUCAUAACCAAUGAAGUUAAUCUGAGGUGUGAUUAUUGCUAGUUGAAAACUUUUCCUCUGAUUAUAGUUGAUGUUUGGUAGAGAAAAUAAAAAUCUUUCUCCUCUUCUAAUUGUGG